rnacentral:lncRNA from 10 species
GUUUUACCAAUUUGUGUCCUGCUUUUAGGCAAAUAGGAAGAGGCAGACAGCUUGCUCUUUCCCUCCCUCCCUUCCUUCCUUCCUCCCUCUCUUCCUCACUUCCCCCUCCCUUCCUCCCUCCCUUCCUCCCUUCCUUCCUUCCUCCCUUCCUUCCUCCCUUCCUUUCUCCCUUCCUCCCUUCCUCCCUCUCUCCCUCCUCCCUUCCUCCUUCCCUCCCUCUCUCCCUUCCUCCCUUCCUCCCUCUUUCUUUUCUUUCUUUCUGACAGAGUCAUGAAAGAAAGAGCCCAGGCUGGAGUGCAGUGGUAUGAUGAUAGCUCACUGUAGUCUCGACCUGCUGGGCUCAAGCGAUCCUCCCACCUCAGCCUCCCGAGUAGCUGGUACUGUAGGCACAUGCCACUAUGCCUGGCUAAUUUUUGUAUUUUUUUGUAGAGACAGGGUUUUGCCAUGUUGCUUAGGCUGGUCUUGAACUCCCGGGCUUGUGAUCCACCAAUCUUGGCCUCCCAAAGUGCCGGAAUUACAGCUGGAGCAAACCUCUCCUGGAUGCACAUCUCUGGAAGCCCCAGGUUCUGAAUGGCAGCUGGAUCUCAGGUCUUUCGAUGCUGAACACGGGAGAGACUGAGGUCUCAGGAUGGCUGGAAAAGUUGGGAUCCUUCACCACAAGGCACCAGAUGCUGAACAAUCUGCUGAAGAGGAGGAAGAAGAGGAUGGGUUGGUCUUGAUGUCUCACGGGUGGCAGAGGCAGAAGAAAAUCCAUCUGGACAUGCACCAAGGAAAAGCCAAGUGAGCACACAGUGGGAUGGCAGCUGUCUGCAGCCUCCCUGGAAGAGGAUCCUCUGCAGCCUUCCUGGAAGAGGAUCCUCACAAGAACCCACCAUGUUGGCACCCUGACCUUGGACUUCCAGUCUCCAGAAUUAUGAGAAAAUAAACAUCUGUUGUUUAAGCCACUCAGUCUGUAGUGUUUGGUUAUGGCAUCCCAAG